rnacentral:rRNA from 1 species
AGUUUCGUAGGUGAACCUGCGGAAGGAUCAUUACAGAAUGAAAAGUGCUUAACUGCAUUUUUUCUUACACAUGUGUUUUUCUUUUUUUGAAAACUUUGCUUUGGUAGGCCUUCUAUAUGGGGCCUGCCAGAGAUUAAACUCAACCAAAUUUUAUUUAAUGUCAACCGAUUAUUUAAUAGUCAAAACUUUCAACAACGGAUCUCUUGGUUCUCGCAUCGAUGAAGAACGCAGCGAAAUGCGAUAAGUAAUAUGAAUUGCAGAUAUUCGUGAAUCAUCGAAUCUUUGAACGCACAUUGCGCCCUUUGGUAUUCCAAAGGGCAUGCCUGUUUGAGCGUCAUUUCUCCCUCAAACCCUCGGGUUUGGUGUUGAGCGAUACGCUGGGUUUGCUUGAAAGAAAGGCGGAGUAUAAACUAAUGGAUAGGUUUUUUCCACUCAUUGGUACAAACUCCAAAACUUCUUCCAAAUUCGACCUCAAAUCAGGUAGGACUACCCGCUGAACUUAAGCAUAUCAAUAAGCGGAGGAA